CACGUAGGGGGCAAGCGUUGUCCGGAUUUAUUGGGCGUAAAGAGCUCGUAGGUGGCUUAGUAAGUCGGGUGUGAAACCUCCAGGCUCAACCUGGAGACGCCACCCGAUACUGCUAUAGCUUGAGUCCGGUAGGGGAGCGUGGAAGUCCUGGUGUAGCGGUGAAAUGCGCAGAUAUCAGGAGGAACACCAGCGGCGAAGGCGGCGCUCUGGGCCGGUACUGACACUGAGGAGCGAAAGCGUGGGGAGCAAACAGG
rnacentral:rRNA from 1 species